rfam:Streptomyces albulus strain NK660, complete genome.
GGCCAAGUUUUUAAGGGCGCACGGUGGAUGCCUUGGCACCAGGAACCGAUGAAGGACGUGGGAGGCCACGAUAGGCCCCGGGGAGCUGUCAACCGAGCUUUGAUCCGGGGGUGUCCGAAUGGGGAAACCCGGCAGUCGUCAUGGGCUGUCACCCGCUGCUGAACACAUAGGCAGUGUGGAGGGAACGCGGGGAAGUGAAACAUCUCAGUACCCGCAGGAAGAGAAAACAACCGUGAUUCCGGGAGUAGUGGCGAGCGAAACUGGAUGAGGCCAAACCAGUCACGUGUGAUACCCGGCAGGGGUUGCGUGGUUGGGGUUGUGGGAUCUCUCUUUUGCAGUCUGCCGGCUGUGAGGCGAGUCAGAAACCGUUGAUGUAGGCGAAGGACAUGCGAAAGGUCCGGCGUAGAGGGUAAGACCCCCGUAGCUGAAACAUUAGCGGCUCGUUUGAGAGACACCCAAGUAGCACGGGGCCCGAGAAAUCCCGUGUGAAUCUGGCGGGACCACCCGUUAAGCCUAAAUAUUCCCUGGUGACCGAUAGCGGAUAGUACCGUGAGGGAAUGGUGAAAAGUACCGCGGGAGCGGAGUGAAAUAGUACCUGAAACCGUGUGCCUACAAGCCGUGGGAGCGUCGCUGGUGAGUUUACUUAUCAGUCGUGACUGCGUGCCUUUUGAAGAAUGAGCCUGCGAGUUUGCGGUAUGUUGCGAGGUUAACCCGUGUGGGGAAGCCGUAGCGAAAGCGAGUCCGAAUAGGGCGUGGAGUAGCAUGCUCAAGACCCGAAGCGGAGUGAUCUAGCCAUGGGCAGGUUGAAGCGGAGGUAAGACUUCGUGGAGGACCGAACCCACCAGGGUUGAAAACCUGGGGGAUGACCUGUGGUUAGGGGUGAAAGGCCAAUCAAACUCCGUGAUAGCUGGUUCUCCCCGAAAUGCAUUUAGGUGCAGCGUCGUGUGUUUCUUGCCGGAGGUAGAGCACUGGAUAGGCGAUGGGCCCUACCGGGUUACUGACCUUAGCCAAACUCCGAAUGCCGGUAAGUGAGAGCGCGGCAGUGAGACUGUGGGGGAUAAGCUCCAUGGUCGAGAGGGAAACAGCCCAGAGCAUCGACUAAGGCCCCUAAGCGUGUGCUAAGUGGGAAAGGAUGUGGAGUCGCAGAGACAACCAGGAGGUUGGCUUAGAAGCAGCCACCCUUGAAAGAGUGCGUAAUAGCUCACUGGUCAAGUGAUUCCGCGCCGACAAUGUAGCGGGGCUCAAGUACACCGCCGAAGUCGUGUCAUUGCGAUAUUACUCCUAACGGGGAUCGUGAUGGGUAGGGGAGCGUCGUGUGCCGGGUGAAGCAGCCGUGGAAACGAGUUGUGGACGGUUCACGAGUGAGAAUGCAGGCAUGAGUAGCGAUACAAGAGUGGGAAACUCUUGCGCCGAUUGACUAAGGGUUCCUGGGUCAAGCUGAUCUGCCCAGGGUAAGUCGGGACCUAAGGCGAGGCCGACAGGCGUAGUCGAUGGACAACCGGUUGAUAUUCCGGUACCCGCUUUGAAGCGCCCAAUACUGAAUCAGGCGAUGCUAAGUCCGUGAAGCCGCCCUGGAUCCUUCGGGUGAAGGGGAGUGGUGGAGCCGACGGACCAGACUUGUAGUAGGUAAGCGAUGGGGUGACGCAGGAAGGUAGUCCAGCCCGGGCGGUGGUUGUCCCGGGGUAAGGGUGUAGGCCGUGUGGUAGGUAAAUCCGUCGCACGUUAAGGCUGAGACCUGAUGCCGAGCCGAUUGUGGUGAAGUGGAUGAUCCUAUGCUGUCGAGAAAAGCCUCUAGUGAGUUUCAAGGCGGCCCGUACCCUAAACCGACUCAGGUGGUCAGGUAGAGAAUACCGAGGCGUUCGGGUGAACUAUGGUUAAGGAACUCGGCAAAAUGCCCCCGUAACUUCGGGAGAAGGGGGGCCAUUUCUGGUGAGGGAACUUGCUUCCUGAGCUGGGGGUGGCCGCAGAGACCAGCGAGAAGCGACUGUUUACUAAAAACACAGGUCCGUGCGAAGCCGUAAGGCGAUGUAUACGGACUGACGCCUGCCCGGUGCUGGAACGUUAAGGGGACCGGUUAGCUUGGAUUCGUUCAGGCGAAGCUGAGAACUUAAGCGCCAGUAAACGGCGGUGGUAACUAUAACCAUCCUAAGGUAGCGAAAUUCCUUGUCGGGUAAGUUCCGACCUGCACGAAUGGCGUAACGACUUCUCGACUGUCUCAACCAUAGGCCCGGUGAAAUUGCAUUACGAGUAAAGAUGCUCGUUUCGCGCAGCAGGACGGAAAGACCCCGGGACCUUUACUAUAGCUUGAUAUUGGUGUUCGGUUCGGCUUGUGUAGGAUAGGUGGGAGACUGUGAAGCGCCAACGCCAGUUGGUGUGGAGUCGUUGUUGAAAUACCACUCUGGUCGUGCUGGAUGUCUAACCUGGGUCCGUGAUCCGGAUCAGGGACAGUGUCUGGUGGGUAGUUUAACUGGGGCGGUUGCCUCCUAAAGAGUAACGGAGGCGCCCAAAGGUUCCCUCAGCCUGGUUGGUAAUCAGGUGUUGAGUGUAAGUGCACAAGGGAGCUUGACUGUGAGACUGACGGGUCGAGCAGGUACGAAAGUAGGGACUAGUGAUCCGGCGGUGGCUUGUGGAAGCGCCGUCGCUCAACGGAUAAAAGGUACCCCGGGGAUAACAGGCUGAUCUUCCCCAAGAGUCCAUAUCGACGGGAUGGUUUGGCACCUCGAUGUCGGCUCGUCGCAUCCUGGGGCUGGAGUCGGUCCCAAGGGUUGGGCUGUUCGCCCAUUAAAGCGGUACGCGAGCUGGGUUUAGAACGUCGUGAGACAGUUCGGUCCCUAUCCGCUGUGCGCGUAGGAGUCUUGAGAAGGGCUGUCCCUAGUACGAGAGGACCGGGACGGACGAACCUCUGGUGUGCCAGUUGUUCUGCCAAGGGCAUGGCUGGUUGGCUACGUUCGGAAAGGAUAACCGCUGAAAGCAUCUAAGCGGGAAGCCUGCUUCGAGAUGAGGGCUCCCUCCUCCUUGAGAGGGUAAGGCUCCCAGUAGACGACUGGGUUGAUAGGCCAGAUAUGGAAGCACUGUAAGGUGUGGAGUUGACUGGUACUAAUAGGCCGAGGGCUUGUCCUC